CUCUCUCUCUCUCUCUCUCUCUCUCUCUCCCCCCCUCUCUCUCGCUCUGCCGCGCUGUGUACAGUGUACACAAAACGUCUCUCUCUGAAACAUCGCCAGCUGUCAUCGGCGAUCGGGGUCUUCUCCUUCACAAAGGCAACCCUUCAGUGGCAAGAUGGGCAACGGUCCGGCACUUUUUUCAGAAAUCGGCAAAUGAGCUAAAGGUUAUUGAUUUGUAAUUUCAACCUUCUUCUGCACUUUCUCUUUUCUUUAGCUAGAGAAAGUUUUAGAUUGGGCAAAUGUUGUAUUGUAGAGUGUGAAAAUAAUUUCUGUGGGCUUGAAAACUGGACAGAAGAUUUGGUUUUGCCUGCUUGAAAGGUUUUUCCUUCUGUACAAGUUACUCCUUAAUCUUUGUAAUUCCUUCCAUGUGCAAUACAUGAGAAUGUAAGCUGCAGCUCGGAGAAUACAAUUGGUCA